rnacentral:tRNA from 1 species
GGCUCUGUAGCUCAGGGGUUAGAGCAGGGGAUUCAUAAGCCCAAGGUCGUAGGUUCAAAUCCAACCAGAGCCA